AAGUAGCAAUACUUAGUGGCAGACGGGUGAGUAACAUGUAGGUAUCUACCCUUUGGCCUGGAAUAACACGAGGAAACUUGUGCUAAUACCGGAUAAGUCUUUACAGAGAAAGCUUUAUGCACCAUUGGAUGAGCCUGCACUAGAUUAGUUUGUUGGUGGGGUAAUGGCCUACCAAGACUGUGAUCUAUAGCUGAUUUGAGAGGAUGAUCAGCCACAUUGGGACUGAGACACGGCCCAAACUCCUACGGGAGGCAGCAGUGGGGAAUCUUGCACAAUGGAGGAAACUCUGAUGCAGCGAUGCCGCGUGAGUGAAGAAGGCCCUUGGGUUGUAAAGCUCUUUCGUCGGGGAAGAAAAUGACUGUACCCGAAUAAGAAGGUCC
rnacentral:rRNA from 1 species